GGGAAGCUGGCUCAGUGGUAGAGCACUUGCCUUGCAUGCAUGAGGCCCUGGGUUCGAUUCCCCAGCACCACA
rnacentral:tRNA from 1 species